CCUACGGGUGGCAGCAGUGAGGAAUAUUGGUCAAUGGACGCUAGUCUGAACCAGCCAAGCAGCGUGCAGGAUGACUGCUCUAUGGGUUGUAAACUUCUUUUAUAUGAGGAUAAACAGCACUACGUAUAGUGGCUUGCAAGUAUAUUACGAAUAAGGAUCGGCUAACUCCGUGCCAGCAGCCGCGGUAAUACGGAGGAUCCAAGCGUUAUCCGGAUUUAUUGGGUUUAAAGGGUGCGUAGGCGGUUUGAUAAGUCAGAGGUGAAAUACUGGUGCUCAACACUGGAACUGCAGCUAAUACUGUUGACCUAGAGAGUAGUGGCGGUAGGCGGAAUGUAUGGUGUAGCGGUGAAAUGCUUAGAGAUCAUACAGAACUCCGAUUGCGAAGGCAGCCUACCAAACUAUAUCUGACGCUGAGGCACGAAAGUGUGGGUAGCAAACAGGAUUAGAUACCCCAGUAGUC
rnacentral:rRNA from 1 species